AUGUCAAGUCACUUGGUUUUCUUCUCAGCUUCCAUGAAAAUGCAACAAUGGAUGCCACCAGAGCCGCAAUUCCACCGGUCGCCGCGGGUCAUGCUGUUGAGUCCGCUCCCUUGAAGCAUCAACAAUCUUUUCAUCUUAAAUGAAAAAUCUGCUUCGUCGUCGCUCCACAGUUGCUUCUUAUUGUCGUUUCAAAGUUCGAGUCCUAAUUCAUUUAAAUAAAGUUCAUGAAACAUUAUUUUCUAGAUGUCUUUCUUGGCGGCAGAGAAGAAGCGCCAACUUCGUUCCAUUGAUAAAGGACGAUGGCAGAAUCGAUCUCCACUAACUCUCUUUUUUUAUUUAUAAUUUUCAAAAAUUGCUCAAUGUAAUUGAAUUAUUAUUAUUAUUGUUAUUGAAGAGUUUCAAAAAUAAUCCAGAAAAUUUCAAAUUUAAAAUUGAUAGAUAGAGAUCCAUUAAUUUAGUUUCCAUUCAACCCAAAAUUAAUGCAAUUUGCUUCCUCUUCACUUGAGGUAGGAGAAAGAGGAGAAGUGGGUGGUGUUGAAAAAUGAGAUGAAGGAGGAACCGACAGUGAUGAAGUGGAAAAAGAUGUUCUCAAUCAUGUGCUAGAGGAUGACGGCCAUGCGACCGGCGUCGAUAUGCAUUAUAUUCGAGAACCUGUCAUCUUCAGUUCUUUGAAUUAAUUAAAUUAAUAUUAUAAAUUUAUCCCUAUAAUUUUUUAUAAUUUUAAACUAUACCUAGAAUUUGGAGGUCAUGAAUAUACUAUUAAAAUGGUUUCCGAGAUUGAGAAUGUACUUGUUUCUAAUCCUUUUUUUUUUAAUCAAAGAGUUACCUAUCGUGCUAGAAGAUUCAAAGUAAAAGGAAUCAGCAUGAGGUGUAGAAGCUUUCAAAAUAAAAGGAUCAAAUUAUUGCUGUAUAAUCUUUUCAACUGCUUGCUGGAUUUGUAACUCUUAAGUUGAAUAGAUGGAGAGUUAUUCAUAUUAUUAUACACUCAUCUAAUGCCUUGUAUAAUUUCUUUUGAACACGCUGUCGAUAAACAAUUUUCCCAAGGUCUCGAUAUAGCUAAUGUCAUUAGAAGGUCAAGUUGCGAUGAAGCCAUCAGACAACAAUUUCAUCUCUAUCAACUUCACUUAUUGUGUGUCAGGAGAAAGCCUCUGAGCUCUGCAUGAGAUACAUUGAGGAAUAAGCAGCAAUACAGAAACAUGGGAAUACCCUUGCUGUCACUUGAGCAGAGAAGGUCAAAUAUUCUGAAAAUAGAAACAGUGUCUAUUGCAGAAAAGGAGAAGGAAACUUGAAAGCUAAAAUGUUGUGGAUAGUUAGCUGCAAUGGUCAAUACAAUGCAUAUAUGAAGAGGCUUGAUUGAGUUGGAGAAUAUGGCAGGAGAAAAGCUUCCUUUCUCUCUGUUACUGUUUCAAAUUCAACACUGUCCUUUGCCCGGCAAACGCUACAAGAAGAAGAUUCACAGCUAAACUCUUCAUGAAGCUAACAUAAACUUGAUGGAUCUAGAGGGGCAUCAAGGGAUAGAUAACUGCUAUGCUGGAGGAUUUGCUUUCUUUCUGGUUUCAACCAUUAAAAUGCGCACUAGGCAGCUUCUGUGGCAAUUGCAACUUGGUGAGCAUAAGCUAAAAAGGAAUGCAACAAUGUUGAACACAUCAUUGUGUAUUUAUCAAGCAGGUUCUUAUCACAGUCGUUCAACUUUGAGGUGUGAUUGCUAUCCGUGCUCUCUAGCCAAAAAGUUCGUAAACAACGGCUGUAUAUUGUAUCAUUGAUUUCACCAUUUAGUUUAUGUGGUUAUGUUCUUGGACAAGAGUUCUGCACUUAUAAUUAGUAGUGCUUGUAAGUUUUGAGACUUGCUUGUAGCUUUAUUUGGAAAAUAGUGAAUAUUUUUACCUUC